GUCCGUAGGCGGUGCGGCAAGUCGGAAGUGAAAUCUCCGGGCUUAACUCGGAGGCUGCUUCCGAAACUGCCGUGCUCGAGUGCGAGAGAGGCAAGUGGAAUUGCGGGUGUAGCGGUGAAAUGCGUAGAUAUCCGCAGGAACAUCCGAGGCGAAAGCGGCUUGCUGGAUCGCAACUGACGCUGAGGGACGAAAGCUAGGGGAGCAAACAGGAUUAGAUACCCUGGUAGUCCUAGCCCUAAACCAUCAGGACUUGGGGUUUGCCCUGUACGGGGCAAGUCCCGGAGCUAACGCGUUAAGUCCUGCGCCUGGGGAGUACGGUCGCAAGGCUGAA
rnacentral:rRNA from 1 species